GACGUUAGCGGCGGACGGGUGAGUAACACGUGGAUAACCUACCUAUAAGACUGGGAUAACUUCGGGAAACCGGAGCUAAUACCGGAUAACAUAUUGAACCGCAUGGUUCAAUAGUGAAAGGCGGCUUUGCUGUCACUUAUAGAUGGAUCCGCGCCGUAUUAGCUAGUUGGUAAGGUAACGSCUWACCAAGGCAACGAUACGUAGCCGACCUGAGAGGGUGAUCGGCCACACUGGAACUGAGACACGGUCCAGACUCCUACGGGAGGCAGCAGUAGGGAAUCUUCCGCAAUGGGCGAAAGCCUGACGGAGCAACGCCCGCGUGAGUGAUGAAGGUCUUCGGAUCGUAAAACUCUGUUAUCAGGGAAGAACAAAUGUGUAAGUAACUGUGCACAUCUUGACGGUACCUGAUCAGAAAGCCACGGCUAACUACGUGCCAGCAGCCGCGGUAAUACGUAGGUGGCAAGCGUUAUCCGGGAAUUAUUGGGCGUAAAGCGCGCGUAGGCGGUUUUUUAAGUCUGAUGUGAAAGCCCACGGCUCAACCGUGGAGGGUCAUUGGAAACUGGAAAACUUGAGUGCAGAAGAGGAAAGUGGAAUUCCAUGUGUAGCGGUGAAAUGCGCAGAGAUAUGGAGGAACACCAGUGGCGAAGGCGACUUUCUGGUCUGUAACUGACGCUGAUGUGCGAAAGCGUGGGGAUCAAACAGGAUUAGAUACCCUGGUAGUCCACGCCGUAAACGAUGAGUGCUAAGUGUUAGGGGGUUUCCGCCCCUUAGUGCUGCAGCUAACGCAUUAAGCACUCCGCCUGGGGAGUACGACCGCAAGGUUGAAACUCAAAGGAAUUGACGGGGACCCGCACAAGCGGUGGAGCAUGUGGUUUAAUUCGAAGCAACGCGAAGAACCUUACCAAAUCUUGACAUCCUUUGACCGCUCUAGAGAUAGAGUUUUCCCCUUCGGGGGACAAAGUGACAGGUGGUGCAUGGUUGUCGUCAGCUCGUGUCGUGAGAUGUUGGGUUAAGUCCCGCAACGAGCGCAACCCUUAAGCUUAGUUGCCAUCAUUAAGUUGGGCACUCUAAGUUGACUGCCGGUGACAAACCGGAGGAAGGUGGGGAUGACGUCAAAUCAUCAUGCCCCUUAUGAUUUGGGCUACACACGUGCUACAAUGGACAAUACAAAGGGCAGCUAAACCGCGAGGUCAAGCAAAUCCCAUAAAGUUGUUCUCAGWUCGGAWUGUAGUCUGSAACUCGACUACAUGAAGCUGGAAUCGCUAGUAAUCGUAGAUCAGCAUGCUACGGUGAAUACGUUCCCGGGUCUUGUACACACCGCCCGUCACACC
rnacentral:rRNA from 1 species